CGGGGGGGGGCAAGCGUUGUUCGGAAUUACUGGGCGUAAAGCGCGCGCAGGCGGCCCGGGCAAGUCUUACGUGAAAUCCCACAGCUCAACUGUGGAACUGCGUGGGAUACUGCCAGGCUUGAGUCCGGGAGAGGAGAGUGGAAUUCCCAGUGUAGCGGUGAAAUGCGUAGACAUUGGGAGGAACACCGGUGGCGAAGGCGGCUCUCUGGACCGGUACUGACGCUGAGGCGCGAAAGCUAGGGGAGCAAACGGGGUUAGAUACCCCGGUAGUCCUAGCUGUAAACUUUGAGCACUUGGUGUGGCGGGUAUCGACCCCUGCCGUGCCGAAGCUAACGCAUUAAGUGCUCCGCCUGGGGAGUACGGUCGCAAAGGCUG
rnacentral:rRNA from 1 species